AAAGAGUUGAAAAACUCCUAAACCCAUUGUAAAUCUACCUAUACCGUUGCUUCGGCGGGCGGCCCCAGGGCGGGGCCUCUUACAGAUGCACGCCGACAGCUCCUAUAAAUUCUUGUUUUUUGGGCACUCUGAGUAAAAACAAAACAAGUUA
rnacentral:misc_RNA from 1 species